rnacentral:tRNA from 1 species
CAUUAAGUGACUGAAAGUAAGUAAUGGUCUCUUAAACCAUCAAUAUUAACUAACGCCUAUUCUUAAUGA